rnacentral:rRNA from 1 species
GGNUGUGANAAAAGCUUAAUUUGACUCAACACGGGGAAACUCACCAGGGUCCAGACACAAUAAGGAUUGACAGAUUGAGAGCUCUUUCUUGAUUUUGUGGGUGGUGGUGCAUGGCCGUUCUUAGUUGGUGGAGUGAUUUGUCUGCUUAAUUGCGAUAACGAACGAGACCUUAACCUGCUAAAUAGCCAGGCCCGCUUUGGCGGGUCGCCGGCUUCUUAGAGGGACUAUCGGCUCAAGCCGAUGGAAGUUUGAGGC